rnacentral:RNase_P_RNA from 1 species
CGAGUCAGCUGGGCGAUCGCGUCGGGAAGGACUGCCACCAUGAUGGUGGUGUGCUUCCUGCCGAGGAAAGUCCGGACUCCGCAGAGCAGGACGGUUGCUAACGGCAACCCGGGGAGACCCGCGGGAAAGUGCCACAGAAAACAGACCGCCGCCCGGCCGUGGCUGGGCUGGCAAGGGUGAAACGGUGCGGUAAGAGCGCACCAGCACCCUGGGUGACCAGGGUGGCUUGGUAAACCCCGUCCGGAGCAAGGCCAAAGGCCGCAUCCUGGUGGUGCGGCUGCACGAACGCUCGAGGGCUGCUCGCCCGAGUUCGUGGGUGGGCUGCUCGAGGUACCCGGCAACGGUGUGCCCAGAUGGAUGAUCGCCGCCCCUGCCCGCGUGGCGGGGCACAGAAUCCGGCUUACAGGCUGGCUCGUCCG